UACGGAGGAGGCAAGCGUUAUCCGGAAUUAUUGGGCGUAAAGCGUCCGUAGGUGGUUUAGUAAGUCUGCUGUUAAAGCGCGGGGCUUAACUCCGUAUCGGCAGUGGAAACUACUAGACUAGAGUGUGGUAGGGGUAGAGGGAAUUCCCAGUGUAGCGGUGAAAUGCGUAGAUAUUGGGAAGAACACCGGUGGCGAAGGCGCUCUACUGGGCCAUAACUGACACUGAUGGACGAAAGCUAGGGGAGCGAAUGGG
rnacentral:rRNA from 1 species